UUCGUUGCAUCCGGUUUGAAAUCACAACGAUUCUAAAGAAGUUUCACUUCAAAAAUAAUUUAAUUUUAAACUAAAGAGUGGAUAAUUUUUAAAUGAUAACCCUCCAGUAGAUGUACAGCCAGAAAUUCCAUACUCACGGUUUCGUCGAAAUAAGUUUGCUCAUAAAGAAUUUAACGACAAGUUUUUAAACAAUAUGUUUGGUCAUAAGUGCUCCGUUUGUGAUCGAUUGUGGUUUAAGUUAGAUUUAAAAUCACCACGUGCUGAAGAUGAACAAUUAUUAAGGGUAAUAGUUGAAAAUUACAAUACAGUUGAAGAUAUUUUACUGUGCAACACGUGUUACCAAGCAAUUGGGAGGAAAGUGAUUCCUAUAAUGUCUACUUAUAACGGUUUUAAAUAUGAAAAAAUACCUGAGGUUUUACCACCGCUUGACUUAAUUUCGGAAAGACUUG